rnacentral:rRNA from 1 species
CUACGGGAUGCUGCAGUCAAGAAUAUUUCCCAAUGGCCGAAAGGCUGAGGAAGCGACGCCGCGUGAUUGAAGAAGCCCUUCGGGGUGUAAAGAUCUUUUCUCUAGGACGAACUUUGACGGUACUAGAGGAAUAAGGGGCUGCUAAACUCGUGCCAGCAGCAGCGGUAAUACGAGUGCCUCAAGCGUUAUCCGGAUUUACUGGGCUUAAAGGGUCCGUAGGCUGUUUAAUAAGUUUUUGGUUAAAUCCUGAAGCUCAACUUCAGGGCCGCCAAAAAAACUAUUAGACUAGAGACUGGAAGAGGCAAGCGGAAUUGCCGGUGUAGCGGUAAAAUGCGUUAAUAUCGGCAAGAACACCAAAUGCGAAGGCAGCUUGCUAGGACAGUUCUGACGCUAAGGGACGAAAGCGUGGGUAGCGAAUGGGAUUAGAUACCCCCGUAGUC